rnacentral:lncRNA from 1 species
ACACGAGGAUGCUGCCGUAGUGGCGGGGCCGGAGGCUGCAGCUGUGAGUCUGGCCAGGGCUAGACACUCAGGUGGGGCGAUGGCGGCGGCUAGGCACGAGGAAGAGCAGGCUGUUAUAGCGGACUGUCGCAUUUCAAACGUGAUCAACUGGAAUAAACCUUUUAGGACCACGACACUCUUUGCUGCCACCACUGCUGUGUACUGGUUUGUGGCCCUCAGUUCCUAUAGAGCGUACUGUCUUCUUGCCCUUUCCUUGGCUCUGAUGGGGACAGUGCUGCUUGUUAAAGAUGUGGCUCUCUCCAGAUGUGUCUCUUUCUCUAAAGGGGCCCACUUAUGGAGCAGUAUGACUGUAAGGUAGGAGCUCUGUUGCAUUAUCAACACAUUGUGUGUGUGUGUGUGUGUGUGUGUGUGUGUGUGUGUGUGUGAGAGAGAGAGAGAGCUCACAAUAUGGCUUGUAUUGAAUACUCCCCGUAAAGGGACACUUGAUCUACUUCUACAGAGUCAGAUGAACUCAUGGAUACCAUUUUUAUGUCUGCGGUUUGAAGGAAAUUGCUAACCAGCGCUAGCGCAAUUGCUAACUAGCGUUAGUGCAAUGGCUGGAAGUCUAUGGGCUUCCAUUAAAUGAGCUGACACUAGUUAGCAUUGGCUCACAAAACUACUUCCUUCAUACUGGACACAGAGACAUAAACAUGGUAUCCACAAGUUCAUCUGACUCUGGGGAAGUAGAUGAAGGGCCUCAUUGCCAAAAUCCUGAAGUAUUGCUUUUAAUGUUCCCUGUGUGUGUCCGCAUCCCGUUAUAUUUGCUCAACUGUGAGACAAGGCACCUGACAGUGUUGUGUUCGAGACCAUCUAAAGCUAGUCCAGUUCAAGACCAUGAUUGUAAUUGUUUCAUAUCACCACCAUAAUAAGAGAUCAAAAUGUCCAGUAUUUCUGUGUUCAUAUUUCAGAAGAACAUAUAGAUUCUUUAGACGUUCAGAAUGCUGAAAAACAUUAUUACUAACCCAAACUGGUCUCUAAAUAAUAGAUACAAAUACAAAAUAUGUAACAACUUCCUCGG